rnacentral:rRNA from 1 species
UACGUAGGGGGCAAGCGUUAUCCGGAUUUACUGGGUGUAAAGGGGGCGCAGACGGCGCGGCAAGUCCGGAGUGAAAUCCCAGGGCCCAACCCUGGGGCUGCUCUGGAAACUGCCGGGCUGGAGUGCUGGAGGGGCAGGCGGAAUUCCUAGUGUAGCGGUGAAAUGCGUAGAUAUUAGGAGGAACACCGGUGGCGAAGGCGGCCUGCUGGACAGCGACUGACGUUGAGGCCCGAAAGCGUGGGGAGCAAACAGG